CACUCCUGCGGGAGGCAGCAGUGGGGAAUUUUGGACAAUGGGCGAAAGCCUGAUCCAGCCAUGCCGCGUGCAGGAUGAAGGCCUUCGGGUUGUAAACUGCUUUUGUACGGAACGAAACGGCCUUUUCUAAUAAAGAGGGCUAAUGACGGUACCGUAAGAAUAAGCACCGGCUAACUACGUGCCAGCAGCCGCGGUAAUACGUAGGGUGCAAGCGUUAAUCGGAAUUACUGGGCGUAAAGCGUGCGCAGGCGGUUAUGUAAGACAGUUGUGAAAUCCCCGGGCUCAACCUGGGAACUGCAUCUGUGACUGCAUAGCUAGAGUACGGUAGAGGGGGAUGGAAUUCCGCGUGUAGCAGUGAAAUGCGUAGAUAUGCGGAGGAACACCGAUGGCGAAGGCAAUCCCCUGGACCUGUACUGACGCUCAUGCACGAAAGCGUGGGGAGCAAACAGGAUUAGAUACCCCAGUAGUCCCAUGAU
rnacentral:rRNA from 1 species